UGGUGCACUUGUGGCAGCUCUUUGAAAUAUUGGUCUAGAGGUGAACUUUGCCAGCCGCUUCUUUUAUUUACUAAUGAACGAAAAUCAAAACUGUCAACGUCAAGAGAAGAGCGGGCUGACCAAAGACAGCCUUCCACCAACUGGAACAGCUACUAUCACCACCGGCCUCACAACGGGACAUUGCAACAAGAGGGAAAACUCUCCCAGGCCACUACUGGUCAGGACUUGACUACUGGACCGCUGGACAGCCUUGACAUCUCUACUUCCUUUCAUAUUUUCCUAAAAUAAACUAAAUUGGCAUUUACAA